ACUCAUAAAUAAAAGGAAAAGAAAAAAGUAAACCUGUAUUGAUAUAAAGGCCAUCGUAGAUAAAAUUUAAUUUAAGCAUCGGAAAUUGGUAUGAAGGUUCUUAAUUUCCAAUUAUAAAGAUUUUUUUCAUGCAUAACCAUAAUCAGGAAAGUCAGAUUGUCUUGGGUUAAGGUAUUAGUUUUGGAAUUUUUGCUAAUUUUUUUGUCAUAAAAAAAUGUUGUAAUAAAACAUUUGUGUUCGAUAAAUUUUUUAACUCGACAAUUAAUCAAAUUUAUAAAACCCCCUCCAAACCAAAUUUCUAGAUCCGCGCCUGUGAUAGUAGGUACAAGAUUAACCAAAACGUCUAAUUUCAGAUGAUUUUAGACUACCAUCUCCAAUGGAACAGGGCUAUUAAUUUAUAUAAGAAAAAAGUGGUAAUUAACAAAAUUAAAUCCUUCUUAUUUUCUUUCAUAUGAAUCUUCCAAACCAACCUUAAUACCAAAUUGUAGUAUUUAUUUUACAGCUAGGCGUGUGCGUAGUAUUUAUACUCCCUAAUUAUCUCAAUUUUACUUAACAUUAAAGAAUAUCAAAAGAAAAGUUAGGGUAUGAAAAGUGUAGUAUAAUGUCAACAAAUUACGAUAGACUCAUUGUUUGGCUUUUCGAAAAUAGGUUUGAGUUAAUUAAUAAAUAAUUACAUUAUAACGACGACAGGAAUUUGAAUUUCUUUUUAUAAAGAUGGGUGAAAUGUAUGUAGGUACCUAUAAUAAUGGCAAGUAAUAUAUCUAACUGCAUGGGCAAAGCUAGCUUAAUACCUUUGUUUCCCUAUUCCUUCCAGUCGAAUAGAAAACGAAUUACAUAAAAGACUAGAAUGCCCAAAUAGACAUACAUACAUUUUAUGGCUGGAAUGGACAUCAGUCUUUGAUAACAUAAUAUGUUAUAUAUUAUGUACAUUUUUUUUUUAUCAAAAAACCAUCCCCAAAAUUUGCCAUGACAAUUCUUUAUUUCAGACAAAACUGUUUUCAGGGAAGUCAGAAUGUGUUUUAAUUCCAUGAGAUGCAGCAUCGAUUAGGUUGUUUUUGUAAUGACAUUUUUUCCUUGUUUUUGGACAAAAUGUACGUGAUAUACUGAUGACCUACACAAUAAUUAUGCUGAGGUGGGUAUUAUCUUAAAACGAUUGUUGUCUUGGAUGGGUUUCUGAUUGGGAUAUAAUUAGAUGUGAAAUUCUUUCUGACUCUACCUUGCAAGCCAAAACUCAGUAGUUUGGUUGAAAACACAACUAGCUCAGAAAUUUUGUCAAAGUAUGGUCAUGAAACCGAUUUUUUUGCGGGACGGUAUUGAAUUCCACAGUCUUGACAAAAAUACUAUUCAAUGUAUUUUACUUAUUUUUCACAAAUGUUGACUUUGAAAUCGAUUAUUUCGAAAACAACUGAUUAAAAUAACUUGAUUUAAAAACUUCAAUUAAGUGCACAGUUCUAGCUUUUGAAAAAGGUAUAAUUGAUAACUGUAAGUGUUGCCGUUUUUUUUAAAUAAUUUUUUUAGAAGUUUUUUAGAAAAAUUGCCCCUCCCUCCUAAAAGGGGCGCAUAGACCCUCCCUCCCAUAACAAAAAAUGAUUGUAUUGAAUAUCUUUACAAAAAACCGUUUUUAAUUCUCGGCGCCUGAGUUAUCGUACUCAAGCCUUGCGUUGAAAUUAUUUUCUUUUUGCAAAGAAAAAUUCUUGAACAAAAUAAUAAGCUACAGAGAACAAUAUGGAAGUAUGGUGGACAAAAUUAAGCAAAAUCCUGGAACUUGCAAUGGCGGCCGCCCUUGCAAAAAGUGGAAAGCAAUCGCAUGCCGACUUUUCCCAGAAUCCCUUAUAUGCAUUGAGUUAUAUGAUUUAUAAUUCAAGAAAUACAGUGACCAGUUAAUUUCUUCGUAUGACUUACAAAUUUCUUAAAUAUUAAUAAUACAUAUUUAUAAAAUCUAUAAACUCCUGCUCAAAAUUAA